rnacentral:rRNA from 1 species
GAUGAACGCUGGCGGCGUGCCUAAUACAUGCAAGUCGAGCGAAUGGAUUAAGAGCUUGCUCUUAUGAAGUUAGCGGCGGACGGGUGAGUAACACGUGGGUAACCUGCCCAUAAGACUGGGAUAACUCCGGGAAACCGGGGCUAAUACCGGAUAACAUUUUGAGCCGCAUGGUUCGAAAUUGAAAGGCGGCUUCGGCUGUCACUUAUGGAUGGACCCGCGUCGCAUUAGCUAGUUGGUGAGGUAACGGCUCACCAAGGCAACGAUGCGUAGCCUACAUGAGAGGGUGAGCGGCCACACUGGGACUGAGACACGGCCCAGACUCCUACGGGAGGCAGCAGUAGGGAAUCUUCCGCAAUGGACGAAAGUCUGACGGAGCAACGCCGCGUGAGUGAUGAAGGCUUUCGGGUCGUAAAACUCUGUUGUUAGGGAAGAACAAGUGCUAGUUGAAUAAGCUGGCACCUUGACGGUACCUAACCAGAAAGCCACGGCUAACUACGUGCCAGCCGCCGCAGUAA